GCCAAUAUGGUGUAGUGGUUUGAACACUAGGCUACAAUUCUGGUGGCCAGGGUCAGAAUCCUUGCUUGGCCA